rnacentral:rRNA from 1 species
UACGUAGGGUGCAAGCGUUAAUCGGAAUUACUGGGCGUAAAGCGUGCGCAGGCGGUUUUUUAAGUCAGAUGUGAAAUCCCCGGGCUCAACCUGGGAACUGCAUUUGAGACUGGAAAGCUAGAGUACGGUAGAGGGGGAUGGAAUUCCACGUGUAGCAGUGAAAUGCGUAGAGAUGCGGAGGAACACCGAUGGCGAAGGCAAUCCCCUGGACCAGUACUGACGCUCAUGCGCGAAAGCGUGGGGAGCAAACAGG